UACGUAGGGAGCAAGCGUUGUUCGGAUUUACUGGGCGUAAAGGGCGCGUAGGCGGCAAAUUAAGACAGCUGUGAAAUCUCCGAGCUUAACUCGGAACGGUCAGCUGAUACUGAUCUGCUAGAGUGCGGAAGGGGCAAUCGGAAUUCUUGGUGUAGCGGUGAAAUGCGUAGAUAUCAAGAGGAACACCUGAGGUGAAGACGGGUUGCUGGGCCGACACUGACGCUGAGUGCGCGAAAGCCAGGGGAGCAAACGGG
rnacentral:rRNA from 1 species